rnacentral:rRNA from 1 species
AACGAACGCUGGUGGCGUGUUUUAUACAUGCAAGUCGAGCGAGGACAGUAGCUUGCUACUGAGCCGAGCGGCGAACGGGUGAGUAACGCGUAAGCAAUCUGCCCCCACAAUCGGGAACAACCGUGCCAACGCGCGGCUAAUGCCGGAUAUUGUGUCCUACUGCAUAGUAGGUUAACGAAAGAUUUAUCGUUGUGGGAUGAGCUUGCGUCCGAUUAGCUAGUUGGCGGGGUAAUAGCCCACCAAGGCGACGAUCGGUAGCCGGCCUGAGAGGGUGAUCGGCCACAUUGGGACUGAGACACGGUCCAGACUCCUACGGGAGGCAGCAGUGGGGAAUAUUGCGCAAUGGGGGAAACCCUGACGCAGCAACGCCGCGUGAGUGAGGAAGGUCUUCGGAUCGUAAAGCUCUGUCGGGUGGAAAGAAUGUAUGGGGUUAAUAGCCUUCAUACUUGACGGUACCACCAAAGGAAGCACCGGCUAACUCCGUGCCAGCAGCCGCGGUAAA